rnacentral:rRNA from 1 species
GCAGUCGUACGAGAGUUUUUAACUCAAGUGGCGGACGGGUGAGUAACACGUGAGAAUCUACCUUUAGGAGGGGGAUAACAACUGGAAACGGUUGCUAAUACCCCAUAUGCUUUCGAGUGAAAUGGAUUUAUCCGCCUAGAGAGGAGCUCGCGGCUGAUUAGCUUGUUGGUAGGGUAAUGGCCUACCAAGGCGACGAUCAGUAUCUGGUUUGAGAGGACGAUCAGACACACUGGAGCUGAGACACGGUCCAGACUCCUACGGGAGGCAGCAGUGGGGAAUCUUCCGCAAUGGGCGAAAGCCUGACGGAGCAAUACCGCGUGAGGGAAGACGGCCUAUGGGUUGUAAACCUCUUUUCUCAGGGAGGAACUCAAUGACGUGUACCUGAGGAAUAAGCAUCGGCUAACUCCGUGCCAGCAGCCGCGGUAAGACGGAGGAUGCAAGUGUUAUCCGGAAUCACUGGGCGUAAAGCGUCUGUAGGUGGUUUAAUAAGUCAACUGUUAAAUCUUGAAGCUCAACUUCAAAAUCGCAGUCGAAACUAUUAGACUAGAGUAUAGUAGGGGUAAAGGGAAUUUCCAGUGGAGCGGUGAAAUGCGUAGAGAUUGGAAAGAACACCGAUGGCGAAGGCACUUUACUGGGCUAUUACUAACACUCAGAGACGAAAGCUAGGGUAGCAAAUGGGAUUAGAUACCCCAGUAGUCCUAGCUGUAAACAAUGGAUACUAGAUGUUGAACAGAUCGACCAGUGCAGUAUUAAAGCUAACGCGUUAAGUAUCCCGCCUGGG